UCAGAAAGUCCUGCCAGAACUCUUUGCUGUACCCCUCCACUGCUCUGCUUUGUGUAAAUCCUGCUUGCUAUAUUCCCAGGGAAACUCCAAUGGAAUUAAGCCUCAGAGAUGUAAAAAGAGAAUCAGAGAAGCAAGAACCUGGAAGGAAUCCCAGAUACUCAGCUCUUCACAGAAAGCAUGGGUCCCUCUACCCUCACUGGCAAGCAGGCCUGUGCACCUUCUCUCCCUCCUUUCUUUGCUUCCAUGUAUCCCCACCUCACCCCCUACCCAGAUGAGCUGUUGUUGGCAGCCAAUGUUUCUGGGCUUUCCUUUGGGCUGAGACCAGCUCUGGUUGCACUUAAGAGCAUGAAUUACUUGUGUCUGGGCUUGGACCUGCCGAUGUCAGUAAAUGUUCUCUCAAAUCUGAUCGUUGCAAACUCAACUCGGUCCUCUUCAUUUGAUCAUAUGUUGAGCACCCAGGUGAAUGGGAGUCAUCCCAUGGAUUCCUGGCUCAUUUAUUAAAAAUGUGGAACGAUUUAAGUUCUUGCUGCUUUGACUGGAAGUCGUUGAACACAUGUUGUUUCCAGCAGGCUCUGGGGCUGGGAGGUCAAGUUUCAGAUGCUAUUAAUUCAGUGUAAAGCCAAAGUGGAGUGAAGGAGAACACAUGGAAAGAACAUUUGGGCCAGAGACUCCCUACUGCAAGUGGGGUUCAAGGACCAACUGCACCAGCAUCAUCAGAGAAAAAUUCAGAAUCUCAGGCCCUACCUUAGACUUCUGGAACCUGAAUCUCCAUUUUAAC
ensembl:lncRNA